GACAUGACUCUCGGCAAUGGAUAUCUCGGCUCUCGCAUCGAUGAAGAGCGCAGCGAAAUGCGAUACUUGG
rnacentral:rRNA from 2 species